UACGUAGGGUGCGAGCGCUGUCCGGAAUUAUUGGGCGUAAAGAGCUUGUAGGCGGUUUGUCGCGUCUGCUGUGAAAAUCCGGGGCUCAACCCCGGACUUGCAGUGGGUACGGGCAGACUGGAGUGUGGUAGGGGAGACUGGAAUUCCUGGUGUAGCGGUGGAAUGCGCAGAUAUCAGGAGGAACACCGAUGGCGAAGGCAGGUCUCUGGGCCACUACUGACGCUGAGAAGCGAAAGCAUGGGGAGCGAACAGG
rnacentral:rRNA from 1 species